UCAUUGAGUAAAAGACUGAUUGAGCAUAUUGAGUAUUGUAUUGUAUCUUGUGUGUAUUGUAUUUGUCUGCAUAUUGAGUAAAAGACUGAAUGAGCAUUCUUUUGUCAUUCUCGUUUCUGGCUUUUAAGAAUGAGAAAAGACUAUUCUAUGAAAACAAGAAAGGAAUUAAUGUACAGGACCACCUAAAAGAUGAAGUGGGCACUACAACUAUAAAAAAAAUAUAGUUAUUAUAUAACCUAUAUAGAUUAAAGGCUUUAAUGGCUUUAAUGGUCUUGUUACUGUGUGUUGACAAUACAAUAGUGCAGCCAAAUAAUAAAUUGUGUGAGUUCAUGUGCUCUGGCAAAAGGAAAUUGGGCCACAUAUCAUAUAUAGUGUUGUUUGUUUGGCCAAAACUACUUAGACAGAACUCGAUAAAACUAUAUAUGACUAGAUGAUUUAUUGUAUCAAUUUCCUUUUUGCUUUAUAUGUAAGUGUUCUUUUUAUUUUCAAUUUCUUUUGUAAGUGAUAUUUCUCUUUAUGGUAUACCCACCAGGAACUAGUAGUAACUAUUUUAGUAAAUGGCCACAGUUUCUGGUUUAGUAUACAGGUUUGCAUGUUUUUGUAAUUAUUGUUGUUUAUGCCAUUCUUAAUGUAGUAGUUA